UACGUAGGGUGCAAGCGUUAUCCGGAAUUAUUGGGCGUAAAGAGCUCGUAGGCGGUUUGUCACGUCUGCUGUGAAAACUGGAGGCUCAACCUCCAGCCUGCAGUGGGUACGGGCAGACUAGAGUGCGGUAGGGAGAUUGGAAUUCCUGGUGUAGCGGUGGAAUGCGCAGAUAUCAGGAGGAACACCGGUGGCGAAGGCGGGUCUCUGGGCCGAUGACUGACGCUGAGGAGCGAAAGCGUGGGAGGCGAA
rnacentral:rRNA from 1 species